rnacentral:misc_RNA from 1 species
CGCAGCCGCGGUAAUUCCAGCUCCAAUAGCGUAUAUUAAAGUUGUUGCAGUUAAAAAGCUCGUAGUUGAAUUUCGGGAUUGGCGCAUCGGCCGUGCCUUACGGGGUAUGAACUGGUGCAGUCAAUUCUCACCUUCUGGAGAACCGCGAUGUCCUUAAUUGGGUGCCGCGGGG